AAAAUCGAUGGAAACGCCUUGGCUUUAGCUUGUUUCAAAAACCCUAUAAACCCCAAAUCACAGAAAUGAAAUCUAAAACCUCCCAAAAGAGUGAAAACCCUACACCAGAGAAGACGAGGCUUUUGGUGUGAUUAUAAAGAAACAGAUAGAGAAAAGAGAAAAAUGGCGAUGUAUCUGAGACGGGCGAUUUCUUCUAGAAAUUCAAUUAUGCUUCUUCGGAGCUGUAAUUGUAUCAUACAAACUCGCAAUAUCUCCCACCAUCUCCUCUCCAACUCUGGAAUUCGCGAAACUCAAAAUUUGCCUUCCUUUGAUUUCCUUAAAGACCAUCGUCGAGGCUUUGCCAAAGGCAAAAAAUCAAAGGAUGAUUAUGCCGGAGAUACGGUUCAAGUUGUACAUGAUAUUGGACCCACUAUUAAGGCAGGUGCUGCCUCGCAGAUGGAAGCAGCAAUAGUCGCAUUGUCUCGUGAAUUAGCCAAAUUACGAACCGGACGGGCAUCUGCAGGAAUGCUUGAUCAUAUCAUUGUUGAAACAGAUGGUGUAAAACUGCCUUUGAGUCGGCUAGCUGUUGUUGCAGUUAUGGAUCCUAAAACCCUAUCUGUGAAUCCAUAUGAUCCAAACACCAUCAAGGCACUAGAGAAGGCCAUUGUUUCUUCACCGUUGGGUUUAAAUCCUAGAGUGGAUGGUGAACGAUUAAUUGCAUCUAUACCACCGUAAGCACAUGCUAACUUAUCUUGUCACGUGUCAACGUGAAGUCCAUCAUGGUUUCAUAAUGAUCUGCGGAAGCAUUUUGUCUAGCAAAGUUUGUGUUUGGUCCGAUUUUACAAAUGCCUAAAUAUUGUAAGAUUUCUUGAUCUCUAGAUUGAUGUACUUUUUCCAUGUUUUCCAUUUAUCAGAUUAACCAAAGAGCAUAUGCAGGUGAGAAUAUAAUCAAUCCUCUUUUGUUUGUUUAUUUUUUUAUUUUCCUCUCUUACUACUAUUGAUUUGUGCAAUAUGACAACCUACCUGAAAAUUUGCCAGGCUAUUUGUAAGGUGGUCUCCAAGUCUUGUGAAGACGUUAAACAAAGUAUAAGAAGGGCUCGCCAGAAGGCAUGACAGUAAAUUUGUUUUGUUGCAAUUGCAUAGUUACUGUUAGGAAUUUCAAAUAAAAAUUUUAAAUUCAAUAACAUAGUGCUCCAUGGUCAUGAAGAAAUGAAAUUUCUAGAUGGUUCACGUUGCCAAUUUUUCAUUGCGGCCUAGUUGGAAUUUUAAUAGCUACAUUUCAUUUAUGGAACAAACUGGCCUUAGUUUUAAUAGAUAAAGCUUAAUUUGCAAAUAGGCAGUUUCUCAAGGCGUCUGAUUUUGUGGUUAUCUACUUGCAAGUGCAUGGCUAAAUGAUCUGUUCUUUAGAUGUUAGUGCAUAGGAAGUGCAGUUUUGUGGUGCAGUGCAUCGUGAAAAGAUUUUAUAUUUAUGUGUAUUUGUUGGUUCAAUUUACAGGCAAUAGAUACAAUAAAAAAAGCAGGUUCAAGUUUUUCUAAGGAUGAUAUCAAGAGAUUAGAGAAAGAGGUUGAUGAGUUGACAAAAAAGUAUGUCAAGUCAGUAGAAGAUAUCUGUAAAGCUAAGGAAAGGGAAAUUAUUGGAGGCUGAAGCUUUGAGCAUGGAAAUGUUUUUUUGAAGAUAAAUUAAGGCUACAACACUUGGUUAGAAAUACCUAGAUUCCAAUUUUAAUUAUCAAAAUCCACUGAUAAUCAAUAUUCAUAACGUUUCUGUAGCACUUAAUAUUUUGAUUUGAAGAUAAAGUGAGGCUAAGUUCAUGAUUCACGGCAUCAUCAUGGUUCAUGAUUAACGUUUAAUAAAUAACAGAACAGGACGUGCCAAGCUGUUAUAGCAUUGCCAUCAGUACUCGUUUAACCAGUGGUAUGUGAGGAUCAAAACCUUAACUUGUAUAUCCAUUUGUCCCAUUUUUUUCUUAAAAUGAUUUGUAUGUGUUU
rnacentral:misc_RNA from 1 species